GACCAGACUCCUACGGGAGGCAGCAGUGGGGAAUAUUGCACAAUGGGGGAAACCCUGAUGCAGCGACGCCGCGUGAGUGAAGAAGUAUUUCGGUAUGUAAAGCUCUCUCAGCAGGGAAGAAAAUGACGGUACCUGACUAAGAAGCCCCGGCUAACUACGUGCCAGCAGCCGCGGUAAUACGUAGGGGGCAAGCGUUAUCCGGAUUUACUGGGUGUAAAGGGAGCGUAGACGGCAUGGCAAGUCAGAUGUGAAAGCCCGGGGCUCAACCCCGGGACUGCAUUUGAAACUGUCAGGCUGGAGUGCAGGAGAGGUAAGUGGAAUUCCUAGUGUAGCGGUGAAAUGCGUAGAUAUUAGGAGGAACACCAGUGGCGAAGGCGGCUUACUGGACUGUAACUGACGUUGAGGCUCGAAAGCGUGGGGAGCAAACAGGAUUAGAUACCCGCGUAAA
rnacentral:rRNA from 1 species